CACCUGGGAAGUACGGUCGCAAGACUGAAACUUACAGGAAUUGGCGAAGGAGCACCACAACGCGUGGAGCCUGCGGUAUAAUUGGAUUCAACGCCGUACAUCUCACCAGGCCCGACAGCCGAAUGAUGGCCAGGUUGACGACCUUGCUUGACAAGCUGAGAGGAGGUGCAUGGCCGAAGUCAGCUCGUACCGUGAGGCGUCCUGUUAAGUCAGGCAACGAGCGAGACCCACGCCCUUAGUUACCAGCGGAUCCUCCGGGAUGCCGGGCACUCUAAGGGGACCGCCAGUGAUAAACUUUAGGAAGGAGUGGACGACGGUAGGUCCGUAUGCCCCGAAUCGGCUGUUCAACA
rnacentral:rRNA from 1 species